rnacentral:rRNA from 1 species
GACGACCGACGCCGGCGUGCUUACCACAUGCACGUCGACCGGAAACGCCUCUUUCGGGGGGUGCUCGCGAGGAGAACGGGUGAGUAACACGUGCGUAUCCUGCCCCUGACUUUGGGAUAACUUCAGGCAACUGGGGCUAAUACCGGAUAGGCGCACCUGCUGCCUGGUGGGGGUUGGAAAGUUUCGGCGGUUGGGGCCGGACUCGCGGCUUCUCAGCUUGUUGGAGGGGUAGUGGCUUACCAAGGCUUUGACGGGUCGCCGGCCUGAGCGGGCGACCGGCCACAGUGGGGCUGAGAUACGGCCCAGACGCCUACGGGAGGCAGCAGUGUGGAAUAUUGCACAAUGGGUGGAAGCCGGAUGCAGCUAGGCCGUGGGGGGGGUGACGGCCGUCGGGUUGUAAACCGCUUUCGCUCAUGACGAAGCCUUGUGUGACGGUAGUGGGUAAAGGAGCACCGGCUAAGUACGUG